UACGUAGGUGGCAAGCGUUUGUCCGGAAUUAUUGGGCGUAAAGCGCGCGCAGGCGGCCUCUUAAGUCUGAUGUGAAGGCCCCCGGCUCAACCGGGGAGGGCCAUUGGAAACUGGGAGGCUUGAGUAUAGGAGAGAAGAGUGGAAUUCCACGUGUAGCGGUGAAAUGCGUAGAGAUGAUGGAGGAACACCUGUGGCGAAGGCGCCUUGCUGGCCGAUUUCUGACGCUGAGGCGACGAAAGCGUGGGGAGCAAACAGG
rnacentral:rRNA from 1 species